rnacentral:tRNA from 1 species
AUGGUCCGUUGGUCAAGGGGUUAAGACACCGCCUUUUCACGGCGGUAACACGGGUUCGAAUCCCGGGAUCUUU